AACACUUCAUCAUCAUCACCAUUCCCAAAUCAUAAACAAAAGACUAAGAAUCUUCAAUUAUCAAAACUUAUAACCCAUUCCAUCAAAAUCAGAAAUCAUCAAACAGAACAAGAGAAAAGGAAAAGAAGGGAGGAAGAAUCUUUGCUACCACAAACAGAACACCACCGCAAAUCCGGCCGCUGCCACCGAAUCCGCCCCAACAUCAUCUAUGAACGACCUCCAC
rnacentral:lncRNA from 1 species